GAUGAACGCUGGCGGCGUGCCUAACACAUGCAAGUCGAACGGAGUCGUUUUGGAAAUCUCUUCGGAGAUGGAAUUCUCGACUUAGUGGCGGACGGGUGAGUAACGCGUGAGCAAUCUGCCUUUAAGAGGGGGAUAACAGUCGGAAACGGCUGCUAAUACCGCAUAAAGCAUUAAAUUCGCAUGUUUUUGAUGCCAAAGGAGCAAUCCGCUUUUAGAUGAGCUCGCGUCUGAUUAGCUAGUUGGCGGGGUAACGGCCCACCAAGGCGACGAUCAGUAGCCGGACUGGGGGGUUGGACGGCCCAAGUGGGACUGAGAAACGGCCCAGAAUCCUACGGGGGGCAGCAGUGGGGAAUAUUGCGCAAGGGGGGAAACCCUGAAGCAACAACGCCGGGUGAUUGAAGAAGGCCUUCGGGUUGUAAAGAUCUUUAACCAGGGACGAAAAAAAUGACGGUACCUGAAGAAAAAGCCCCGGGUAACUACGG
rnacentral:rRNA from 1 species